AUUUUUUUUAUGUGCCCUACGGCUUUCUGACAAUUUAUUGAGCAAUCUUUCCUAAGGAACCUAUACGUUUUGAAGGCUCUAACUAUUGAAAAACAAUGAAAAACCUGCGAAGUAGCACUUAACCCUACCGUCUCCUAUAUAUUAAUUCACCCCAAUUUCCGUCAAACCCCUUUCUCCCCUAUGGCUCAACCGCAGCGAUGUGGUGAGUUUUUGAUCAGCCAGCAAACUGUCAGACGCUUGUUUUUGUUUUGAUCCAGGACGUUUUGAUUUGCUUCGGUCCGUGCAAAUCGGUUCCGUGCCAAGGGCCCAAGGAAUCGGUGACUAGCACAACCCGCGGUUUCCUCUACGUGAUCAGUACGCUACUGAAAGACGGCAUGGAGCUUCUGAGCCCUGGAGUACACGCGGCGUUGUCCCAAAACACAUCGGUGGUGCUGGUGUUUUUGUUCGGGCUUGAUUGCGGAGGUGGUUAUGUUUCGCGAAACAGAAAACAGCAUUCUGCACCAGCAGGACCUACCACAGGUGGCGUUUCCUAAAUCGAGUUCCGUUGUAUGGUCUGGCCCGUUCAGUGUAUAGAAGAGUUUUCAUCGAAGGUUGUCAGCGGGAGUGACCGCUGCCGUCGUCGUCGGUGCUGUCGUGUUUUGGGGCCCUUCCGGUAACUCAAGAUUAAUACGGCAGAAGCGAAGCCAGAUCGCCGGAUUGCACAACUUCGGGAAGACCUGCUUCCUAAAUGCGCUGUUCCAGUCCUUGCCCGUUGCAGUUGCACAACACCAAGGACAUGAAAACGUUGGUCAAUUGAUCGCAUCCGACGUUGCGCCGAGAUCCGUAUUCUCCGGGAGCAGUUGUCCGGUCGUUGAACGGAGGAGGUAACCAAACCGAAGAUGAUCGGCUGUCUGUCAGAUGCCCUGUAGGAAGAGGAACUGGGGGUCAUGAUGCCAGGCCGUCCAGUGCCAAGCUGUCGGAGUUUUGCAAUAUCAAGUACGACGUAUCCACGAACUUGACACGCUGGAGGGGUCACUGAUGCGCCGAAACACCGUCAUCGAUCAUUUCCAAGCUCUCCGGACGACCGAGCAAGCCGAAGUCGAUUCUGGCCACAAACAUAAGCCGAAACUGGACAAACGGGUCGUGCCGAUCUCUGUGGGUGUGGAUCUGGGCAGACCGAAAGCAGAUCCAGGUUCCCCAUCCGUUCCGAGGCGGAGCAGUCAGGUCAGGUAUGCUGAUACAAAUCCGUGGUCAGAUGCGACAUGUUCGAAAGUGUGACGCUGCCGCUUCCGGAAGUUAAGAACCCCAGAAUUGUUAGGUACUCUACUUGACUGAAAUAAAGGCUACUAUAUACAAAGUAUGAACUACUUCUUACUUUUCACCCCUCUCCUCAUCAAGUAAACAAGCGUGGGCUUUAGUUUUGCAUCAUUCAUUCCAAAUGUCCAUCUUUGGCGCCUGCCCGCCAAGUGCUGCUCGUUUGAUUAUCGACCUGGUACACAGCAAGUAUGAACUUGUGGAACAAUUAUUAGACCAUUUUAGUAGAAUGAUUUCUCGCAUCACCAUGCAAAUUGAAAGGACGUGAUGUACCUUAUGAAAACAUAAAUCCUUAUGGACAUCUAAAGCCUCGGCCAGAUAACUACAAAAUGACAAAAAGUAUAACUAACUAC